GAAUGAAUGAAGCAUGGUAAUAUGCACACAAAUUGAUUUUGGUCCCUAGGCCUGCCCUAGCUAAUGCCUUUUGGCUUUGAUUUGGGAGAACGGUUCCGCAGCAAGACG